AUUUAAACCCCUUCCAGAGUAUCAAUUGGAGGGCAAGUCUGGUGCCAGCAGCCGCGGUAAUUCCAGCUCCAAUAGCGUAUAUUAAACUUGUUGCAGUUAAAAAGCUCGUAGUUGAAUUUCUGCUGUUUCGUUGACUGCGUUUGGCGUUUGUCAUCGUUGCGGCUUGGUUGGGUUUCGAUUAUUCGUUUCCCGGCGUUUACUUUGAGAAAAUUAGAGUGCUUGAAGCAGGCUUUUGCCUUGAAUACUUUAGCAUGGAAUAACGGAGUAGGACUUUGGUUCUAUUUUGUUGGUUUUAGGAGCCAGAGUAAUGGUUAAUAGGAACAGUUGGGGGCAUUCGUAUUUGACUGUCAGAGGUGAAAUUCUUAGA
rnacentral:rRNA from 1 species